rnacentral:lncRNA from 1 species
AUUAUUGACUCAAGAUAUUGCAUGCAGCAUUUAAUAAUUGGUUUUCAAAAUAUAAAGAUUGAUUUUUGCAUUUGAAAUUAAUACUGAGACAGAUAGUUCAAUUCUAUUAUUUUAUGAUUAAUUUGUGGGAGUAAUAUUCAUAUUUAGAGUUUCAUAAGUUUAUCCCAACCAGGGGUUUUAUCUUCAACGUGUUGGGUGUUGCAAGGGAAGUUAUACAGAUUCAGGCAUUCCUAUAGCAGUUUUUGACCAAAAUAUUUUGUUUUUAAUCUUUCAUAUAACUCCAUAACAUGUUACUUCAGAUAAUUUUAUGAUGUUGACUUUUUUUUAUAUAUAGGAAUGAAAUUCUAUACCUCUAAUCAUUUUAAAAAAAGCAUACUUCUGAAAUAUUUUGUGAGUUAUAAGGUCUGAUUUAAGAGUAUUUUUAUAUUGUUUUUGUGUUGAAAAGACUUGAGUCUUUAAGAAACUAUGUUGGAUUUAGAUUAAUGGAAGAUUGAGAAUUAAAAGCAUUAUCAGAAUAAAUUUUU